CAUAUAGCGAGGAAGAGAAGGAGUACACAAUCCCUUUCUUGAUAGAGAGCUUUUGGUUGGUGGAAAAAAGCAGAAGGAUUUGUGGAAGGUAGUCUUGGAGCUUUCAUUUUGAAAAGAGCAGUAGGAAUGAACGUAUACACGGCGUUAUCGUGUUGAGGCACAGACAUGUGUGAAGUAAGGUGGUACCACGCGACAGCGUCCUUUAG
rnacentral:ncRNA from 1 species